UCCAAGGAAGGCAGCAGGCGCGCAAAUUACCCAAUCCUGACCUAGGGAGGUAGUGACAAGAAAUGUAAAUGUUCCGUUGCCUUUGGUGAUGGGACAAUUUAGAUGAAACGGCUUUUAAUACGCCAGUUGAAUGCAAUUAGAGGGCAAGUCUGGUGCCAGCAUCCGCGGUAAUACCAGCUCUAAGAGCGUAUCCUUGAGUUGUUGCAGUUAAAACGCUCGUAGUUGGAUUUUUUGUGUGGGAAGUUUUCGAACUGAAGGGUUAAUGUCGGUUGCUUGUAGGGUAAAACCUAUAGGUAACUCGGCGUUCCCCCUGCACUUUGCUUGUGAGCUAGGGGCAACCCUAUGUUCACCCGUACCUUGAGAAAAGGAGAGCGCUUCAGGCAGGCCUCUUAACACGCCAUGAAUUUAGUAGCAUGGGAUACACGUAUUGGACUUAGUCCUUUGCGGUUGGUUUUCAGGAUCAAGUCAUGAUCGAUAGGGACGGUUGGGGGUGCUCGUAUUCCGCGGGAAGAGGUGAAAUUCCUGGAUCCGCGGAAGACGACCUUAUGCGAAAGCAUUCACCAAGGACGUCUUCUUUAAUCAAGAACGAAAGUUGGGGGAUCGAAGACGAUCAGAUACCGUCGUAGUCUCAACCAUAAACGAUGUCAACUGUGGAUUUUUUCGUCUAGUCAUGAAUUGCUUGGCUGGCUUCGGCCAGUCAACUUUUCGCCGACCGAAAGAGCACACUGUGGGAAACCAAAGUCUUUGGAUUCUAGGGAGAGUCUUUUCGCAAGAAAGAAAUUUAAAGGAAUUGACGGAAGCGGUACCACCACGGAGUGGGUCGUGUGGUUUAAUUUGACUCAACACGGGAAAUCUUACCAGUGCCGGACAUUGUGGGGAUUGACAGACUGCAGCUCUUUCAAGAUUCUGUGCUGUUGGAUGGUGCAUUGCCGCGGAAAGUUCGUGGAUUGAUUUGUCUGGUUCAUUCCGAUAACGAACGAGACGUUGGCCAUGUCGGCAGUUAAUAGGCCGAGGAAAAAUAAAUACGGGCAGCCUGGGUGCAAAUCCAGGGACUUUUGCAGCUCCGUUCUUAGUGGGACUGUCGGCGUUGUAGCCGAAGGAAGAUCAACUCAAUCGCAGGUCCGUGAUGCCUCUAGAUGUAUUCUGGGCCACACGCGCGACACACUGAUAGGUACAUCGAGCGAACGGGGUGGGGUCAAACUCACUCUUCCUGUUUCGAGAGGAACGGGCGCUCUGCAAUGCCUCAUCGUGCUGGGGAUCGACACUUGCAAUUAUUUGUCGUGAACGAGGAAUUCCUAGUAGACGCACGUCAUCAGCGUGCAUCGAUUACGUCCCUGCCCUUUGUACACACCGCCCGUCGCUAGUAUCGAUGCGUCAUCAAGUGAGGUUCAAGGAUUCGGGUUUUUCUUCGGAAAGGCUUGAAGAAUUGAAACAAACUUUAUG
rnacentral:rRNA from 1 species